AGUCGAACGGUAGAGGGGGCAACCCCUUGAGAGUGGCGAACGGGUGAGUAAUAUAUCGGAACGUGCCCAGUCGUGGGGGAUAACGUAGUGAAAAUUACGCUAAUACCGCAUACGAUCUACGGAUGAAAGCGGGGGAUCGCAAGACCUCGCGCGACUGGAGCGGCCGAUAUCAGAUUAGGUAGUUGGUAGGGUAAAGGCCUACCAAGCCAACGAUCUGUAGCUGGUCUGAGAGGACGACCAGCCACACUGGAACUGAGACACGGUCCAGACUCCUACGGGAGGCAGCAGUGGGGAAUUUUGGACAAUGGGCGAAAGCCUGAUCCAGCCAUUCCGCGUGCAGGAUGAAGGCCCUCGGGUUGUAAACUGCUUUUGUACAGAACGAAAAGGUCUCUAUUAAUACUAGGGGCUCAUGACGGUACUGUAAGAAUAAGCACCGGCUAACUACGUGCCAGCAGCCGCGGUAAUACGUAGGGUGCAAGCGUUAAUCGGAAUUACUGGGCGUAAAGCGUGCGCAGGCGGUUAUAUAAGUCAGAUGUGAAAUCCCCGGGCUCAACCUGGGAACUGCAUUUGAGACUGUAUAGCUAGAGUACGGUAGAGGGGGAUGGAAUUCCGCGUGUAGCAGUGAAAUGCGUAGAUAUGCGGAGGAACACCGAUGGCGAAGGCAAUCCCCUGGACCUGUACUGACGCUCAUGCACGAAAGCGUGGGGAGCAAACAGGAUUAGAUACCCUGGUAGUCCACGCCCUAAACGAUGUCAACUGGUUGUUGGUCUUAACUGACUCAGUAACGAAGCUACGCGUGAGUUGACCGCCUGGGGNGUACG
rnacentral:rRNA from 1 species